rnacentral:rRNA from 1 species
AGUGAACGCUGGCGGUAGGCCUAACACAUGCAAGUCGAACGGCAGCACAGUAAGAGCUUGCUCUUACGGGUGGCGAGUGGCGGACGGGUGAGGAAUACAUCGGAAUCUACUUUUUCGUGGGGGAUAACGUAGGGAAACUUACGCUAAUACCGCAUACGAUCUACGGGUGAAAGCAGGGGAUCUUCGGACCUUGCGCGAUUGAAUGAGCCGAUGUCGGAUUAGCUAGUUGGCGGGGUAAAGGCCCACCAAGGCGACGAUCCGUAGCUGGUCUGAGAGGAUGAUCAGCCACACUGGAACUGAGACACGGUCCAGACUCCUACGGGAGGCAGCAGUAGGGAAUAUUGGACAAUGGGCGCAAGCCUGAUCCAGCCAUACCGCGUGGGUGAAGAAGGCCUUCGGGUUGUAAAGCCCUUUUGUUGGGAAAGAAAAGCAGCAGAUUAAUACCCCGCUGUUCUGACGGUACCCAAAGAAUAAGCACCGGCUAACUUCGUG